UGGGGAAUAUUGCACAAUGGGGGAAACCCUGAUGCAGCGACGCCGCGUGAAGGAAGAAGUAUCUCGGUAUGUAAACUUCUAUCAGCAGGGAAGAUAUUGACGGUACCUGACUAAGAAGCCCCGGCUAACUACGUGCCAGCAGCCGCGGUAAUACGUAGGGGGCAAGCGUUAUCCGGAUUUACUGGGUGUAAAGGGAGCGUAGACGGUGUGGCAAGUCUGAUGUGAAAGGCAUGGGCUCAACCUGUGGACUGCAUUGGAAACUGUCAUACUUGAGUGCCGGAGGGGUAAGCGGAAUUCCUAGUGUAGCGGUGAAAUGCGUAGAUAUUAGGAGGAACACCAGUGGCGAAGGCGGCUUACUGGACGGUAACUGACGUUGAGGCGCGAAAGCGUGGGGAGCAAACAGG
rnacentral:rRNA from 1 species